rnacentral:rRNA from 1 species
UACAGAGGUCUCAAGCGUUGUUCGGAUUCAUUGGGCGUAAAGGGGGCGUAGGCGGCGCGGUAAGUCGGGCGUGAAAUCUCGGAGCUUAACUCCGAAACUGCAUUCGAUACUGCCGUGCUUGAGGACUGGAGAGGAGACUGGAAUUUACGGUGUAGCGGUGAAAUGCGUAGAUAUCGUAAGGAAGACCAGUGGCGAAGGCGGGUCUCUGGACAGUUCCUGACGCUGAGGCACGAAGGUCAGGGGAGCAAACGGG